AGAGUUUGAUCAUGGCUCAGGACGAACGCUGGCGGCGCGCUUAACACAUGCAAGUCGCGCGGUACCGAUGGCAAGUCUUCUUGACGAGCCUUCGGUAUAGCGGCGGACGGGUGAGUAACACGUGAGUAGCUGUCCUAGGGAGGGGGAUAACGCCUGGAAACGGGUGCUAAAACCCCAUAAGCCUCGAAAGAGGUAAAAGUGCAUCACUGCAGUCCUAGGGUGUGCUCGCGGCCUAUCAGCUAGUUGGUGAGGUAAGGGCUCACCAAGGCCAAGACGGGUAGCCGGCCUGAGAGGGUGUACGGCCACACUGGAAUUGAGAUACGGUCCAGACUCCUACGGGAGGCAGCAGUGGGGAAUUUUGGGCAAUGGGCGAAAGCCUGACCCAGCGACGCCGCGUUGGGGAUGAAGUCCUUCGGGGCGUAAACCCAUGUUGUAGGGGAAGAAGAAAGUGACGGUACCCUACGAGAAAGCCCCGGCCAACUACGUGCCAGCAGCCGCGGUAAAACGUAGGGGGCGAGCGUUGUCCGGAAUUACUGGGCGUAAAGGGCAUGCAGGCGGUGCGCCAAGUCGGGGGUGUAAAGUUACGGCUCAACCGUGACCUUGCAAUCGAAACUGGCGCACUGGAGUGCGGGAGAGGGAAGUGGAAUUCCCGGUGUAGCGGUGAAAUGCGUAGAUAUCGGGAGGAACGCCAGUGGCGAAGGCGGCUUCCUGGCCCGCGACUGACGCUCAUGUGCGAAAGCCAGGGGAGCGAACCGGAUUAGAUACCCGGGUAGUCCUGGCCGUAAACGAUGGGUGCUAGGUGUAGGCGCGUCAAGCGUCUGUGCCGAAGUUAACGCGAUAAGCACCUCGCCUGGGGAGUACGGUCGCAAGGCUGAACUCAAGGAAUUGACGGGGGCCCGCACAAGCGGUGGAGCACGUGGUUUAAUUCGAUGCAACCGAAGAACCUUACCUGGGUUGACAUGC
rnacentral:rRNA from 1 species